ensembl:lncRNA
AAUUAACAACACCGUCAGAUGACGCUACAGAAAGCAAAGUAACGGCCUAAGAAAGUCCAAUUGGCUUCUCUUGUGGUUAAAACAACGAGGUGAAUGUAGUGUUUAGGCACUGAAAGACCUUCCUUUUCCCUUAUCCUUGGCCCUGGGAAUUGUGUUCCGGACAGAAAGCUCCAAUGGCCGGCUGCUUUUCUAGUUGAGACAAUUCACAAUGUUCCUCGGUGGAUUCCCCUCCAGGUCCAGAGAAUGAGCCUCACAGAUGCUGCCAGAAAAGCUUGGGAAAGGUCGUGCAGCUUGUUUUCUUGCACUCUGGCAAGCUGCUGAGACAGAAAACCUACUCCUUCGGAGGAGCGUGGCCUUUUCUUAUAUUGCUUUCCCCCGCUGCUUCUGAGCUUCUUGAACUCAGCUCAUCCAUCAAGAAGCAGCUCAUCCAUCAAGAAGGCCUUAUGGAUGAGCUACCUAUCCCCACUGAGAGAGGAGGAACAUCAACUGCAGUUUCUAACUAGAUUGCCUUCUUCAUUUCAAGUGAUGGCUGCCAUCAGGGUCAGAUUAAGGACAGACCAGCCGGAUGGCUGCUUGGAAGACUAACCUACAAGGAUACUAAAAUGUUCACCGUGUGCUUACAUCACCAGGAAAAUAUACCAGCACUUCUUUUAGGGAGCACUCUGGGGCUGGAAGAAAUGACUUGUUAAGUUCCUCAGGAGUAAUCAGAAUAGAGGAACAGAGGGAUGGCUUACUGCAGGGUUCCUGUUUUUCCUACUGAGAUAUGUAAAUUAGGUACCCCAGCUGGAUUGUUUGCACAUGGAGGGCAGUGGUCCUGCUCAAUUCGUCCUUACACAGAACUCAGUCUGCCCUCUAAUAAAGAUCCUACAAGUAGUGGUUUGAAGGAGACACCAAUUUAUUAGCCUACUCAUCUCUGUUCUGAACUUUAGGGCUUGGAAAUGAAGACACAGUCAUUGAUAGUUUCUCUUCCAGUUCUAGAAUAUUAGCCCUUAGUGUGUCUUCAUUCACUCAGAGUAAGGGUUGUUAAUUAACAGAGCAGAUCAGGACUAACAGAGCUUGAAUUCUUGUGGGUUGGGUGAUCAGAUCCUGUGUUGAAUUAAUUAGAUGGAGACCAAGUGGAGUUGAGAUUUUCAAAA